CCUACGGGGUGCAGCAGUGAGGAAUAUUGGUCAAUGGGCGUACGCCUGAACCAGCCAAGUCGCGUGAGGGAAGACUGCCCUAUGGGUUGUAAACCUCUUUUGUCAGGGAGCAACGCCGGCUACGUGUAGCCGGACUGAGAGUACCUGAAGAAAAAGCAACGGACAACUCCCUGCCAGCGGCCUCGGUAAGUCGGAGGAUGCGGGCGUUAUCGGGAUUUAUUGGGUUUAAAGGGUGCGUAGGCGGAAUGCCUAGUCAGCGGUAAAAUCGCGGGGCUCAACCUCGCUCAGCCGUUGAAACUGGCGUUCUUGAGUGGGCAAGAGGAGGGCGGAAUGCGUGGUGUAGCGGUGAAAUGCAUAGAUAUCACGCAGAACUCCGAUUGCGAAGGCAACAUACCGGCGCGCAACUGACGCUGAGGCACGAAAGCGUGGGUAUCAAACAGGAUUAGAUACCCGAGUAGUC
rnacentral:rRNA from 1 species